AUUGAACGCUGGCGGAAUGCUUUACACAUGCAAGUCGAGCGGCAGCGCGGGGCAACCUGGCGGCGAGCGGCGAACGGGUGAGUAACACAUCGGAACGUACCCAGUUGUGGGGGAUAGCCCGGCGAAAGCCGGAUUAAUACCGCGUACGACCUGAGGGUGAAAGGGGGGGAUCGCAAGACCUCUCGCAGUUGGAGCGGCCGAUGGCGGAUUAGCUAGUUGGUGGGGUAAAGGCCUACCAAGGCGACGAUCCGUAGCGGGUCUGAGAGGACGGCCCGCCACACUGGAACUGAGACACGGUCCAGACUCCUACGGGAGGCAGCAGUGGGGAAUUUUGGACAAUGGGGGCAACCCUGAUCCAGCCAUUCCGCGUGAGUGAAGAAGGCCUUCGGGUUGUAAAGCUCUUUCGGCAGGAACGAAACGGUGGAGGCUAAUACGAUCUGCUAAUGACGGUACCUGAAGAAGAAGCACCGGCUAACUACGUGCCAGCAGCCGCGGUAAUACGUAGGGUGCGAGCGUUAAUCGGAAUUACUGGGCGUAAAGCGUGCGCAGGCGGUUUUGUAAGACAGAUGUGAAAUCCCCGGGCUUAACCUGGGAACUGCGUUUGUGACUGCAAGACUCGAGUGUGGCAGAGGGGGGUGGAAUUCCACGUGUAGCAGUGAAAUGCGUAGAGAUGUGGAGGAACACCGAUGGCGAAGGCAGCCCCCUGGGUCAACACUGACGCUCAUGCACGAAAGCGUGGGUAGCAAACAGGAUUAGAUACCCUGGUAGUCCACGCCCUAAACGAUGCCAACUAGGUGUUGGGGAAGGAGACUUCCUUAGUACCGUAGCUAACGCGUGAAGUGGCCGCCUGGGA
rnacentral:rRNA from 1 species